rnacentral:rRNA from 1 species
UACGGGGGGGGCAAGCGUUGUUCGGAAUUACUGGGCGUAAAGGGCUCGUAGGCGGCCAACUAAGUCAGACGUGAAAUCCCUCGGCUUAACCGGGGAACUGCGUCUGAUACUGGAUGGCUUGAGUUUGGGAGAGGGAUGCGGAAUUCCAGGUGUAGCGGUGAAAUGCGUAGAUAUCUGGAGGAACACCGGUGGCGAAGGCGGCAUCCUGGACCAAUACGUGACGCUGAGGCGCGAAAGCUAGGGGAGCAAACGGG